rnacentral:rRNA from 1 species
GACGAACGCUGGCGGCGUGCCUAAUACAUGCAAGUUGAGCGAUGAAGAUUGGUGCUUGCACCAAUUUGAAGAGCAGCGAACGGGUGAGUAACGCGUGGGGAAUCUGCCUUUGAGCGGGGGACAACAUUUGGAAACGAAUGCUAAUACCGCAUAACAACUUUAAACAUAAGUUUUAAGUUUGAAAGAUGCAAUUGCAUCACUCAAAGAUGAUCCCGCGUUGUAUUAGCUAGUUGGUGAGGUAAAGGCUCACCAAGGCGAUGAUACAUAGCCGACCUGAGAGGGUGGUCGGCCACAUUGGGACUGAGACACGGCCCAAACUCCUACGGGAGGCAGCAGUAGGGAAUCUUCGGCAAUGGACGAAAGUCUGACCGAGCAACGCCGCGUGAGUGAAGAAGGUUUUCGGAUCGUAAAACUCUGUUGGUAGAGAAGAACGUUGGUGAGAGUGGAAAGCUCAUCAAGUGACGGUAACUACCCAGAAAGCGACGGCUAACUACGUG